UGCCACCAACCAUCUACAAGGUUGCAGCCACAGGAGGAGAUUCCAUGACUGGAACACUCACAGCUUUCCUCUGCCUUGGACUGACUCUGGGCCUCAGGAACCCAGUGCUCACAUGGGGACUUCCAAAGCCUACCAUCAGUGCUAAGCCAGGAUCUGUGGUUGCCAAUGGAUCUCAGGUGACCAUCUUAUGUGAGGGGGUCUCAGGCGUUCAGGGUUACUACCUUUACCAACACAGAAACCUAGGUUCCUGGCACAGAAUGACCCUGAUGAAGCCUGGAAAUAUGGCCAAGUUUGUCAUCCCUUUUACUAAAUGGUCCCAUGCUGGGCGUUAUUUCUGUUUAUACUACAAGCCUCCCAGCUGGUCAGAGAAGAGUGAUGUUCUGAAGCUGGUG